rnacentral:rRNA from 1 species
GACGAACGCUGGCGGCGUGCUUAACACAUGCAAGUCGAACGGAAAGGCCCUGCUUUUGUGGGGUGCUCGAGUGGCGAACGGGUGAGUAACACGUGAGUAACCUGCCCUUGACUUUGGGAUAACUUCAGGAAACUGGGGCUAAUACCGGAUAGGAGCUCCUGCUGCAUGGUGGGGGUUGGAAAGUUUCGGCGGUUGGGGAUGGACUCGCGGCUUAUCAGCUUGUUGGUGGGGUAGUGGCUUACCAAGGCUUUGACGGGUAGCCGGCCUGAGAGGGUGACCGGCCACAUUGGGACUGAGAUAAGGCCAAGACUCCUACGGGAGGCAGCAGUGGGGAAUAUUGCACAAUGGGCGGAAGCCUGAUGCAGCAACGCCGCGUGCGGGAUGACGGCCUUCGGGUUGUAAACCGCUUUCGCCUGUGACGAAGCGUGAGUGACGGUAAUGGGUAAAGAAGCACCGGCUAACUACGUG